GUAAGGUCAGUUUUACCGUUUCAUCCCUUGCAAGCUCAGUUCAUCGUUCCUGUUUGUUAACUGCAACUGAGCUGCACAGAAGGCUUUGUGCUGGAGGAUUUCUCUGAGAGAUAGGAUGAAACAGAGCCUAGCCCAAAGAAUUUACAGGAGAGAUGUAUUUCUCAUGCAGCCAUCUCCCCAGCUCAGCAGGUGCUACGUGAAGUGUGUUGGAGACUAGGACAUGGUGGCUGCUGGCAGCAAGGAUGUCAUUUCUGCAGUGUUAAUUGCAUUUCUUGUGUAACUAUAGCAGCCUAUAUUCAGGUACAGGCCCAUUUUUCCUCUGACCUUGGCCUUCACCUCUCUGCAGACACUAUAUCGCUGCCUUGGAUACCUCAUGAAUGCUUUGGAGAAUCUCCCAGAGGAUCUGCAAGUGCAGAGUGCUCACUCUGGUCUUCCCAGUGAGGAAGGGAGCAGGCAAUGCCACACAGCAAUUCACAGAAGCAUCACAAGGAAAAGAAUUUCUCAGCUCAAAGGCUGCCCUAUGAAGCCUGCUCCUGGGGAUAACCCUGGGAUGUGUUCAAGAGGAACCAAGCAGUCUUUAUGGGGUUGCCCUGUUGCCUCCACUUCUGGAUCACUCGGCACUGCUGGUAGGAGCAGUGAUCUAGAGGUCUAGAAGAGGCCAUAAACUAGCAAGACAGAGUUGCUAGAAAGUGGAGGGAAAAUCAGGACUGAGCAGACUUUGCAAAGAUCACUUUGAGCUCUGUGUGUGACUGAGGAUGGAUUCAUGUCUACAAAAUUCAGCUAAAGCAAGAUGACCCAUAGAAAGAAGCAGUGUUGCCUAAUAGAAUUGGCAUUGAUCUCCCCCGAGUGUGAGAAGGCUGCAGUGUGACAGGAUUUAUCCUGGUACAUUUUCUGCCUAGGAGAUACCUGGAGGUUUGCCUGCGGUUGGCUUUUUAUUCGUUUCUCUUGCUGUAAGUGUGCUCAAUGGGGACAAAUCUGCUGUUUUGUAAAAGGUUUUCCGGCUCCCAAGCAGCCCAGUGAGUGAGCAUACAAUGCAAUCAAUGUUACAAGCACUGCUUAUGCUACACUCUGGUGCACUGCCAGGAUCCCACACAGAUCAACCUGACCCAGGCGGAAAAAUCAUUGAGAAAUAAGAGAGAGGGAGAGGGAGCAAGAAGAAAUCCCCAAAUCCCCAGAAACACAAUGUUAAACCCUCCCACCUGAUCUGCAAAGCAAAAGCCAGCCCAGACCAAAUAUAAACCAAGGCUGCACAGCCAAAACAACCAGACUGCAGAAGGUCAGAUAAUCUGAAAUGUGCGUAUCGCAGCAGGGCGGACGUGCCUGCAGCCAGCUCGCGGAGAGGAGGAGGAGGAGGAGGAGGAGGAACGAUGUCUCCCUGCAUGGGCGUAUUUGGGAUCCUCUGAAACUCUGGUGCUCUUGGCAAUCACAGGAGUGACUAGCUGGGAGGGAGCCCAUCAUGUCCACAGCUGUUGGCUGGCAUCUGUGCGCCUGGCAGCUGCCAUCCCAGAUGCAUCACUAGUGCUGUUCCUCCCUGCCCACACUGGGAUGCCACUGCAGUUUGUAGGAUGAGUGACAGGAAUAAUGGAAAGGCAUCUUUGAAGACUCCAGCAGGCCUGUACCUGAGGCAAGAGGACUAAAACAUUAAAGAACUUUAAAGUUGUUUUCUUUUUUCCUCUCACAUAACAUGUCUGAUCCCUUUUAAUCUUACUAAGCUAAUAGUAAA